ACACAACUCUGGAGAGUUCCAUUCAAUUGGACGCCGAAGGUGUAAAGGUCUUACUUAAGACCCCGAUCUCUCAGGCAAAAGGACAGGGCG
rnacentral:ncRNA from 1 species